rnacentral:rRNA from 1 species
GACAGAGGCCACGAACGUUGUUCGGAAUCACUGGGCAUAAAGCGCACGUAGGCGGCUGGGUCCGUCCGAUGUGAAAGCCCCCGGCCCAACCGGGGAAUUGCAUCGGAUACAGCCCGGCUUGAGGACGGUUGGGGUGAGUGGAACUCCUGGUGGAGCGGUGAAAUGCGUAGAUAUCAGGAGGAACACCGGUGGCGAAAGCGGCUCACUGGACCGUAACUGACGCUGAGGUGCGAAAGCUAGGGGAGCAAACGGG